GCCAGUCUGCGUGGAGCCGACCUUGAAAUACCACCCUUUAAUGUUUGAUGUUCUAACGUGGACCCGUGAUCCGGGUUGCGGACAGUGUCUGGUGGGUAGUUUGACUGGGGCGGUCUCCUCCUAAAGAGUAACGGAGGAGCACGAAGGUUGGCUAAUCCUGGUCGGACAUCAGGAGGUUAGUGCAAUGGCAUAAGCCAGCUUGACUGCGAGCGUGACGGCGCGAGCAGGUGCGAAAGCAGGUCAUAGUGAUCCGGUGGUUCUGAAUGGAAGGGCCAUCGCUCAACGGAUAAAAGGUACUCCGGGGAUAACAGGCUGAUACCGCCCAAGAGUUCAUAUCGACGGCGGUGUUUGGCACCUCGAUGUCGGCUCAUCACAUCCUGGGGCUGAAGUAGGUCCCAAGGGUAUGGCUGUUCGCCAUUUAAAGUGGUACGCGAGCUGGGUUUAGAACGUCGUGAGACAGUUCGGUCCCUAUCUGCCGUGGGCGCUGGAGAACUGAGGGGGGCUGCUCCUAGUACGAGAGGACCGGAGUGGACGCAUCACUGGUGUUCGGGUUGUCAUGCCAAUGGCACUGCCCGGUAGCUAAAUGCGGAAGAGAUAAGUGCUGAAAGCAUCUAAGCACGAAACUUGCCCCGA
rnacentral:rRNA from 3 species